rnacentral:rRNA from 1 species
GACGAGGGCGCGAGCGUUGUCCGGAAUUUAUUUGGGCGUAAAGAGCUCGUAGGCGGUCUGUCGCGUCUGCUGUGAAAACUCAGGGCUUUAACCCUGAGCUUUGCAGUGGGUACGGGCAGACUAGAGUGCGGUAGGGGAGACUGGAAUUCCUGGUGUAGCGGUGAAAUGCGUAGAGAUCAGGAAGAACAUCCGUGGCGCAAAGCGCCUAUCUGG